rnacentral:rRNA from 1 species
AUUGAACGCUGGCGGAAUGCUUUACACAUGCAAGUCGAGCGGCAGCACGGACUUCGGUCUGGUGGCGAGUGGCGAACGGGUGAGUAAUACAUCGGAACGUGCCCAGUCGUGGGGGAUAACGUAGCGAAAGCUACGCUAAUACCGCAUACGAUCUACGGAUGAAAGCGGGGGAUCGCAAGACCUCGCGCGAUUGGAUCGGCCGAUGGCAGAUUAGGUAGUUGGUAGGGUAAAGGCCUACCAAGCCGACGAUCUGUAGCUGAUCUGAGAGGAUGAGCAGCCACACUGGGACUGAGACACGGCCCAGACUCCUACGGGAGGCAGCAGUGGGGAAUUUUGGACAAUGGGCGCAAGCCUGAUCCAGCCAUUCCGCGUGCAGGAUGAAGGCCUUCGGGUUGUAAACUGCUUUUGUACAGAACGAAAAGGCUCUGGUUAAUACCUGGGGCUCAUGACGGUACUGUAAGAAUAAGCACCGGCUAACUACGUGCCAGCCGCCGCCGUAA